rnacentral:rRNA from 1 species
GAUGAACGCUGGCGGCGUGCUUAACACAUGCAAGUCGAACGAAGAUGCCGGAGUGCUUGCACUUUGGCAGACUGAGUGGCGGACGGGUGAGUAACGCGUGGGUAACCUGCCUUAUACAGGGGGAUAACAGUUGGAAACGACUGCUAAUACCGCAUAAGCGCACGGUAUCGCAUGAUACAGUGUGAAAAACUCCGGUGGUAUAAGAUGGACCCGCGUCUGAUUAGCUUGUUGGUGAGGUAACGGCCCACCAAGGCGACGAUCAGUAGCCGGCCUGAGAGGGUGAACGGCCACAUUGGGACUGAGACACGGGCCCAAACUCCUACGGGAGCAGCAGUGGGGAAUA